AUGGCUCACCAUCAUUUAGCUAUUGCAUUUAUUUUUCUCAUUGCCGGUCACAUGUAUGGAACUAACUUUGGAAUUGGGCACAGUAUUAAAUAUCUUUUAGAAGUGCAUACUCCUCCGGGGGGUAGAUUAGGGCGUGGGCAUAAGGGCCUUUAUGACACAAUCAACAAUUCGAUUCAUUUUCAGUUACGUCUUGCUCUAGCUUCUUUGGGGGUUAUUACUUCCUUAGUAGCUCAACAUAUGUACUCUUUACCUCCUUAUGCAUUCAUAGCACAAGACUUUACUACUCAAGCUGCUUUAUAUACUCAUCACCAAUAUAUUGCAGGGUUCAUCAUGACAGGGGCUUUUGCUCAUGGAGCUAUUUUUUAUUAG
rnacentral:rRNA from 1 species